rnacentral:sRNA from 13 species
UAUACAGCUACGAUUGUUGUUGAUUUUGGCAGUGAUUAAUGCAUUUAUAAUUAAUUUAUUGUACACGCAGUCCUCACAAACCGAACCAAAGAUUAAUAGAAAGAAUGGAGAAUCACCAUUUAGUCCCGGCUGUGCACCCAUAACAAACAAAUCAAGAACAAACAAUUGUCGGGGAUAAUCUGUUGCUCACCAGGGAUUAGCAGGCACUACCUAGCCCCUUUCCUUUCCCGCAUACUCCAUCUCCUUCUGGCCAUAUGCAAAUGCCAAGGACCAAAAAUUAAAGCGUGAACAUUUGUGUAAAGUAUCUGGCUGAGAGUGCGGGUGCAAAGGAAACCGCAAUCGGAAAACCGCAAGAGGAAAACGAGGAAAGCGAACUCCUUCUGGUAAGGGCCCUUGUAAUGGGUUUAAAACACCCCAUUUCUGUUCCGAAGGAAACGCAAGAAUCAGAGGCGUUUCCCGACCGAAGGCAGAAGAAGGGUUACCCUUUCCAAAGAGCAUCGAACAGGAUGAUAACGAGCUGCGGGCUUCCACUGUUUUGUGCCCUGUCGUAAAACAGCAAAUUGGAUUAACUUCUGUGACAUUUUCCUACCGAAAGUCAAAAUGGGAUAAGACGUUGUGCGUGGAGAAAGCGGGAAAAGUGGGAAAAUUAGUAUAGAAAUCGUAUUGAGCCACGAAAUAAGCUGGCUUCACGCCCAUUGCAAAAUGCCAAGGAAAAUACUUACAUCUGUAAAAUAUUUCAUUAAGAAAGUCUUUGUCGUGGCAAAAA